AACGAACGCUGGCGGCGUGCUUAACACAUGCAAGUCGAACGCGAAAGGGACUUCGGUCCCGAGUAGAGUGGCGCACGGGUGAGUAACGCGUAAGUGAUCUACCCCUGUAUUUGGGAUAACUAUGGGAAACUGUAGCUAAUACCGGAUACGUUCAUGUGAUUGCGAUUAUGUGAAGAAAGAUGGCCUUUGAUUCAAGCUAUUGUACAGGGAGGAGCUUGCGUACCAUUAGCUAGUUGGUAGGGUAAUGGCCUACCAAGGCAACGAUGGUUAGCGGGUCUGAGAGGAUGAUCCGCCACACUGGAACUGAAACACGGACCAGACUCCUACGGGAGGCAGCAGUGAGGAAUAUUGCGCAAUGGGGGCAACCCUGACGCAGCGACGCCGCGUGGAUGAUGGAGGCCUUCGGGUCGUAAAAUCCUGUCAGAUGGGAAGAAGUGCAUGUUGGUUAAUACCCAUCAUGUUUGACGGUACC
rnacentral:rRNA from 1 species